rnacentral:rRNA from 1 species
CGAACGCUGGCGGCGUGCUUACCACAUGCAAGUCGACCGGAAAGGCCUGCUUUCCCUUGUGGAUUGCGGGUACUCGAGUGGCGAACGGGUGGGUAACACGUGAGUGAUCUGCCCCCAACUUGGGUAUAAGCCUGGGAAACUGGGUCUAAUUCCCGAUAGGACUGCAGGGUGGUGCCUGUGGUGGAAAACGAUUUUCUAGUGGUUGGGGAUGAGCUCGCGGCCUAUCAGCUUGUUGGUGGGGUAAUGGCCUACCAAGGCGGCGACGGGUAGCCGGCCUGAGAGGGUGGACGGCCACAUUGGGACUGAGAUACGGCCCAGACUCCUACGGGAGGCAGCAGUGGGGAAUAUUGCACAAUGGGCGGAAGCCUGAUGCAGCGACGCCGCGUGGGGGAUGACGGCCUUCGGGUUGUAAACUCCUUUCGACCGCGAGGAAGCCACCUGGUUGGAAGGGUGGUGACGGUAGUGGUAGAAGAAGCACCGGCUAACUACGUG